AUGUAUUCCAGAACAAGCAACUUUCGUAUCACCCCACUUGACUUUGCCGUUCACUGAACCAGACCCAUCUUCGUGUCUCAUUCUCUCUCUUCCUUCUUCUUGCCUUCUGCUUCCUUCUCCUCUCUUUCCUACUUUUGUUUUUCUAUAAUUCAAUUCAGUUCAAUUUCACAAUAAUUACGUUUCAUCAAUUCAAUCAAAUACACUGCACUUAAAUCUUCGUUCCUUCAUUCAUUCAUCCAUCCAUCCCCAUCGCCCGCCCCUUCCCCCUCAGGAAAGGCGGAGCAUCACGCACAUGCCGUUCUUUUCACCUCCCUCUCCCUCUCUUUUUCUUGGCUAUUUUUUACCGAGCGCAGCCCGUUCCGCAGCACUUGCGCCUUCCCCCGUUUCUGGGUCUUUGGGAUUCUGUGGAGUUGAGUAGAGAACGAGACGAAAGUUGAAGAAUUUGGAAGAGAGCGAGGGGCGCCCGGAGGGGCUGAGAUGCGAAGAUGUGCCCCUGGCCGAAUCUGUCUGCCGUCUUCUCCUUGUUCUUGUCCGGAUGGUUUGAGAUCUCCACAUAACAAUCGCUGCCAUCUCAUUCGGUAUCACAGCUGGAUCGUUGGGAACGACGUUCGCGGCUUUCAAUCUGAACUUUAGGGGGCAAGUGGAUGUACAAGACGAUGGAGUUCAGAGAAUUCACCAGAUGCACUUGAGUUUCGGGAGACGUCUUGCUUGUUCUUUCAGCAUCUCAGAGUUGUAAUUAGCACAUAUCGGCCUGGUGUUACUACCUAAACAUCCUCAGUGAGGAUACUGAGAGAAGGGAAUUGAUCGAACGUUAAGCACUUGCGUCGUCCGCCCUCCUUUGGUUCAUUUGGUUGGCAGUCAGAUAAGCAUUGGCCCCAUCUGCCGUGCAGCAGCACUCAUAAUUGUAGAUGAGUUCCGAACUUGAUCAAGCAGAUCCGAGACAGAGACAGGGAAUCAUAAAUCUGGGUUUCAUAAUGGAUAGGAGAGUGAGAAGACCAGUUGACAAGAACAUAGAAUACAGCAGGAAAAUGGGGUCAGAACCGAGAUGGUUGGCUGAGGGAAAGAAGAUGGAGUACAAUCGGCAGAGAAGUGCCAAGAGACUGUUGCCGGCUUCAGGAUAUUUCAGCUUACAGUCGUUGUACGUGUUGAUAUGCCUGACGGUGUCAUUGCUCAUACUACCGUUGAUACUCCCGCCAUUGCCGCCUCCCCCAUUCAUGUUGCUUUUGCUUCCCAUCGGCAUUCUGGUUGUGCUCGUGAUACUGGCCUUUAUGCCUUCCAAUGUGAGGGACUUGACGUACGCAUAUAUGUAAAGAGUGUGUGUUUCAUUUCGUGAGUCGAUCAUACCAUUCUUGUAAACCCGAUCUUCCGGUGUUCAAAGAGGAGAAAGAAGAAAGAGGAUUUUCAAA